rnacentral:lncRNA from 1 species
GGUUAAUAUGAGUAAAUAUUACAAAAAAUAAGGAACGUGACCAUGAAACUUGUAGUUGAACUAUCAAUAGAAAUAUUUAUAAUUAUCUUUUAAAAGUUAUUAUAUUAUUUUGGACGUCUAUACUCUAUUGUAGACUCCACUAGUGGAAAAAUAUGUUUUUAUAACGAUCCUAUUAUAACAUAUAAAAAUUAUCUGUUAUAAUAGAUUGAUAUUAUAACGCACUUUUAUAAAUCAGUUAUAAUAUGAAACACAUAAAUGUAGGACCUAUUAUAACGCAUUUUUCUAAAUCAGUUAUAAUAUAAAACCGUUAUAAUAUGAAACGCGAUUGUAAAAUUGUAAAUAAGUACAUAACCUAUUAUAACGGACUUUUAGAAAUCAGUUAUAAUAUCUCCUCCUUUCUAAUUUUUUACAUUUCCCUAAUUUCAUUUCAAGGUUUCCUUCAUUUCAUUUCUCUCCCGUUCUUCGUCUCUGAAGCUCUAAACACUCCGCUCUUUGCCUCUUCCUUCGUGUCUAAAGCAGCGUCAACACCACGCAUUUCUAAUUUCUCGGCACUCCCACACCACGCAUCUCUAAUUUCUCGGCACUCCUCCCUCCGAACACUCCGAGAACACUCCCUCCA